CCUACGGGAGGCAGCAGUGGGGAAUAUUGGACAAUGGGGGGAACCCUGAUCCAGCCAUGCCGCGUGUGUGAAGAAGGCCCUCGGGUUGUAAAGCACUUUCAGUGAGGAAGAACGCCUGGUGGUUAAUACCCAUCAGGAAAGACAUCACUCACAGAAGAAGCACCGGCUACACUCCGUGCCAGCAGCCGCGGUAAUACGGAGGGUGCGAGCGUUAAUCGGAAUUACUGGGCGUAAAGCGCGCGUAGGUGGCUUGAUAGCCGGUUGUGAAAGCCCCGGGCUCAACCUGGGAACGGCAUCCGGAACUGUCAAGCUAGAGUGCAGGAGAGGAAGGUAGAAUUCCCGGUGUAGCGGUGAAAUGCGUAGAGAUCGGGAGGAAUACCAGUGGCGAAGGCGGCCUUCUGGACUGACACUGACACUGAGGUGCGAAAGCGUGGGUAGCAAACAGGAUUAGAUACCCGAGUAGUC
rnacentral:rRNA from 1 species